CCUCGGUGCAAAGCAGGGGCCUCCAGCCUCCACGCCCCCAACCUCACCUGGACACUCUCCAGGCGUGCACCUGGCCUCCGUGUCCGCCCUGUCCGCAGGCACCCGGCCAGCCCCUGCGAAUGGUCUUCAGCCGCCUGGACAAAGGCGGCUGGAGCUCCAGGUUCAUAGCAGCUCCCUGUCUGCCACCUCCCGAGAGGCCAGUCCCCCCUGGCCAGGGCCCGCCCAUCACACACCAGUCUGAGGGAGGCUGUCUGCCUGUCUCCCUGAGCAUCCUCCACGAUGACCUGCAGCUUUCCUCGUCCUCGGAGGAGAGCGACCGGGAGUGAGACACCUCAUGUCCUCGGACACUCGUCCUCUGGCCCUUGUGACCCCGAGCAGAUUCUAUGAGAAAUUCAGCGCCAGGAGAGCAAGAGGUCGUCCACUCGAAUGUAAAGUUAAGGAUCUACGAAAUGACUGUGUAUUGGGUUUGCGAAUGUCUGAAUUUGGGGACACCGGAGGAAUGAUUCCAGUCUGGGCUGGGCAAGUGGAGGCAAUCUUUGGUUUAGAAUAGUUCACUGAUAUCGUUUUUCUGCAGAUCAUAUCGGGGACUAUUUUACAUGCUGUCUGCAUUUUUGUUUUUCCCUGGUAGUGCAACGUUGUGUGUAGUGUUACCACAACUAAUAAAAUUUGCUCAGAGACGA